rnacentral:rRNA from 1 species
AGAGUUUGAUCCUGGCUCAGAACGAACGCUGGCGGCGUGCUUAACACAUGCAAGUCGAGUGCGCGUUCCGGUAGCAAUACCGGGAUGGCGCACGGCGCACGGGUGCGUAACACGUGGGCAAUCUGCCCUUCGAUGGAAUAACUCCGGGAAACCGAAGCUAAUUCCGCAUAACAUUCCCUGGACUCUGGUUUGGGGAUUCAAAGCCGUAAGGCGUCGAAGGAGGAGCCCGCGCCCGAUUAGCUAGUUGGUAGGGUAACGGCCUACCAAGGCUAUGAUCGGUAGCUGGUCUGAGAGGAUGGCCAGCCACACUGGAACUGAGACACGGUCCAGACUCCUACGGGAGGCAGCAGUGGGGAAUCUUGCGCAAUGGGCGAAAGCCUGACGCAGCGACGCCGCGUGGGGGAUGAAGCAUCU